GAAUUUUGCGCAAUGGGCGAAAGCCUGACGCAGCAACGCCGCGUGAGUGAUGAAGGCCCUCGGGUCGUAAAGCUCUGUCAGAGGGGAAGAACCGCCGGGUGGUUAAUACCUGCCUGGUCUGACGGUACCCUCACAGGAAGCCCCGGCUCACUCCGUGCCAGCCUCCGCGGUAAUACGGAGGGUGCAAGCGUUGUUCGGAAUUAUUGGGCGUAAAGCGCGUGUAGGCGGUUUGUUAAGUCUGGUGUGAAAGCCCUGGGCUCAACCUGGGAAGUGCAUUGGAUACUGGCAAACUUGAGUACGGGAGAGGAUAGUGGAAUUUCGAGUGUAGGGGUGAAAUCCGUAGAUAUUCGAAGGAACACCGGUGGCGAAGGCGGCUAUCUGGACCGAUACUGACGCUGAGACGCGAAAGCGUGGGGAGCAAACAGG
rnacentral:rRNA from 1 species